AACGAACGCUGGCGGCAGGCCUAACACAUGCAAGUCGAGCGCGCCUUCGGGUGAGCGGCGGACGGGUUAGUAACGCGUGGGAACGUGCCCUUCUCUAAGGAAUAGCCACUGGAAACGGUGAGUAAUACAUUAUACGCCCUUAGGGGGAAAGAUUUAUCGGAGAAGGAUCGGCCCGCGUUAGAUUAGAUAGUUGGUGGGGUAACGGCCUACCAAGUCUACGAUCUAUAGCUGGUUUUAGAGGAUGAUCAGCAACACUGGGACUGAGACACGGCCCAGACUCCUACGGGAGGCAGCAGUGGGGAAUCUUAGACAAUGGGCGCAAGCCUGAUCUAGCCAUGCCGCGUGAGUGAAGAAGGUCCUAGGAUCGUAAAGCUCUUUCGCCAGGGAUGAUAAUGACAGUACCUGGUAAAGAAACCCCGGCUAACUCCGUGCCAGCAGCCGCAGUAAGAC
rnacentral:rRNA from 1 species